UACGUGGGGCGCAAGCGUUAUCCGGAAUUAUUGGGCGUAAAGAGCUCGUAGGCGGUUUGUCGCGUCUGCCGUGAAAGUCCGGGGCUCAACUCCGGAUCUGCGGUGGGUACGGGCAGACUAGAGUGAUGUAGGGGAGACUGGAAUUCCUGGUGUAGCGGUGAAAUGCGCAGAUAUCAGGAGGAACACCGGUGGCGAAGGCGGGUCUCUGGGCCGAUACUGACGCUGAGGAGCGAAAGCGUGGGGAGCGAACAGG
rnacentral:rRNA from 1 species